rnacentral:rRNA from 1 species
CACCUCUUUCCAUUCCGAACAGAGAAGUUAAGCCCCUGAGUGCCGAUGGUACUGCCUUAUGGUGGGAGAGUAGGUUGGCGCCGAAU